rnacentral:lncRNA from 1 species
GAAGCGGUGCUCUCAGUGGGAUCUAGAGUUUCUGGUGACCACCUUCCCCCAAGGGGGUGGAGGAUCCCACCUACUAGGCAGGUAUCAGUACCCUGUUACCUUUUCUUCUCUCUGAUGUAUAUUUCCAACUGUUCUAUGAGAUCCCUCUGAUAGGCAGAAUCACUCUUUCCCCCACAGUGAAUAUACCCAAAAUGCCAAAGCAAGUGACUUGUCCCCUGUUCAGAUCACCUGCUAAUCCAAGCCUGAGAAGAGCAUCAGGUUCCCCAGGCACGCCCCCACCAAGCAAGCUGGAAAGCAUAUAAAGCUGAAACUCCAGGCUGGCCAGUAGCUGGAAGCCCUCCUCCCACCAUGGGCUGCCACCCCCUCCUCCUCUGGCUGCUGUUCUUCCAGGCCAUUGUUCUACCUGUGGCAGUUUGCUACAGGAGGGACAGUAGGAGGUCGGGAGGAAGGCUGGGGAAGGGACACCAGAAGAGAAGCCUCAUCCAACACACACCUGUGGAACAGCAAGACAGUGAGUACCAGCCAGAUGGACCCCUUGCCUGUGGGGGAGGGGUUGGGGUGGGUGAACUUUCAGGGUGAAGGAUAGGAAAGCCCUUGGGACAGAUGGUCCCCACUCAGUAGGGAGAGUCACUUACUGUGGAAAUAAAGAUGACCCAGAUUUAUUUCCACUUAAGAGGGAUGCCAUCAGAUCUGUGUCUCUCUUUAUUUUUGCAUACAUCAAAGAUUGAUUUAAAUGUCUCUAUUUCAGGUGUUCUUAAAUGUUGGGGUACAUGGUGAUCACCCCAAGAGCUUGUUGAGCAUGUAAAAUCCUGGGCCCCAUCCCCAGACAUGGCUACAUUCCUGGAUUCUGCAAAUUUAGGAAGUUUCCCCAAGAUGCGAAUGACAGGAGUUGCGUGAGGGCUACAUUUGAAAGCACUGCCUAGGGGCCACUGGGAGGAGAAUAGAUGGCAGGGACUCAACUUGCCGUGGCUCUCCCUCAGCA